UCAAGCAUUGCAUCGCUCGGUUUGACACCCACCGCCAAUGCAAUGCGGCGGUGUUGUCGUCGAUGCGGAGAGUGGCCCGUCCUGCAUUGCGCGGCGGGUUGAAGAGCGGGAUGUCUUCUUCCCAUGGCAACGAUCGAUAGAUGGGUGGUAGGAAGCCCCUGUUGGCCCUCGACAUCGCGCGUUCGACUCGUGGAAAGAUGCACGUAUCCCAUGCUAACCCAACUCAAGUGAUGCAUGCAUGCGACACAUUGAAGUGCGACCCCAGGAUGGGCGGGGAAACCCGCUGAGUUUAAGCAUAUC
rnacentral:rRNA from 1 species